rnacentral:rRNA from 1 species
GACGAACGCUGGCGGCGUGCUUAACACAUGCAAGUCGAACGGAAAGGCCCUGCUUUUGUGGGGUGCUCGAGUGGCGAACGGGUGAGUAACACGUGAGUAACCUGCCCUUGACUUUGGGAUAACUUCAGGAAACUGGGGCUAAUACCGGAUAGGAGCUCCUGCUGCAUGGUGGGGGUUGGAAAGUUUCGGCGGUUGGGGAUGGACUCGCGGCUUAUCAGCUUGUUGGUGGGGUAGUGGCUUGCCAAGGCUUUGACGGGUAGCCGGCCUGAGAGGGUGACCGGGCACAUUGGGACUGAGAGACGGCCCAGACUCCUACGGGAGGCAGCAGUGGGGAAUAUUGCACAAUGGGCGGAAGCGUGAGGCAGCAACGCCGCGGGCGGGAUGACGGCCUUCGGGUUGUAAACCGCGUUCGCCUGUGACGAAGCGUGAGUGACGGUAAUGGGUAAAGAAGCACCGGCUAACUACGUG